rnacentral:rRNA from 1 species
GGGUCAGUAGGGUGGUCGUGCCACCGGUACGUACUGGUCUCAAUGAUUCCUCCUUCCUGAAGAACCGUAAUGCCAUUAAUUUGGUGUUGCGGGGAAACAGGACUGUUACUUUGAAAAAAUUCGAGUGUUUAAAGCAAGCUAACGCUUGAAUACAUUAGCAUGGAAUAAUGAAAUAGGACGAUCGAUCCUAUUUUGUUGGUUUCUAGGAUUGACGUA